UGUUCUGUAGCUUAGUUGGUUAAAGCGCCGGUCUAGCGUACACGGAGUCGUGAGUUCGAGUCUCACUAGAACGC
rfam:Aedes aegypti strain Liverpool supercont1.737 genomic scaffold, whole genome shotgun sequence.